GACAGAGGUGCCAAGCGUUAGGCGGAAUCACUGGGCUUAAAGCGUGUGUAGGUGGAUGCCUAAGUGCCUUGUGAAAUCCCACGGCUCAACCGUGGAAUUGCUUGGCAUACUGGGUGUCUUGAGCCACUUAGGGGUCGCUGGAACAAACGGUGGAGCGGUGAAAUGCGUAGAUAUCGUUUGGAACGCCAAUGGUGAAAACAGGCGACUGGGAGUGUGCUGACACUGAGACACGAAAGCCAGGGGAGCGAACGGG
rnacentral:rRNA from 1 species